rnacentral:lncRNA from 1 species
GGACAAGAAAACCCUGGAAGCACCGAACACCACCGGUCCGUUCGGUCAAGUGGCGAUUACGAGGCGUUGGCCCCAGACACGAGUAAAGUACUGCUCUGUGCGAGAACGUCACCGUGCCAGGAGAGGCGUCCCCCCGGCACCGUCCAUCCGCUCACGGAUAGAGAGGCACGUAGAUGAAUCGCGAGGACUUCACAAGAAUUCCUUUUGAGGAACAUGGAAACUCGCGGAUAUCACUCGGCACUUUUGCUUCGGAUACGCAGAAUCUAUCAGGAGAAGCGCGCGUGCCCUCCUCGCCGUGUUUUGGCCCUGCCUCAAAGCCUGCAGCGACCAGACGCUUUUGACGUUGUACGAGCUCCCAUGUAGUCUCGAUUUCCUCAGGGAAGGGCGCUGAAAAACGCUGUGUGGACCAUGAACUCCGCGGUAAUUGCAAUGCCACACACACAGCUACGCCAAAGGGAAUUCCACUGCUCAUCGUGUUCGUUCAUCGAAUGUCUGGAGUCGUCAGUGUCAGUCUCACUGGUUUCUUUACGUUGUCGCUUCUUGGAUCUCUGCUGUACACCUGUGUAUUCUUGUCUUUUCCUGGGAAAUUUGGCGAACCCGAAUGCUUCUCACAUGGCGAAGGUGGGCAGAGUCGAGGUCUGCAGGGAAAUGUAUAUCUCCUUUGUCCAGCUUGGUUCCUUGCUUCGUUCCACAUUUUGUAUAAACGGGAGGUCCGUGCCGAACUACUGGCCGUUCGGUAGAAGCUGCCCUCAAAUGCAAUCGAGUAGCCAGCCUCGAUGUACACGGUUCUGAAUUCAGACGAGGAACCCGUGUAGCUCAACGGUGAUCUCAGGAACUUACUUGAGAAAUCCUCAGCAGACAGCUUGAAAGUAAAACAUGG